UACGGAGGGAGCUAGCGUUGUUCGGAAUUACUGGGCGUAAAGCGCGCGUAGGCGGCUUUGUAAGUUAGAGGUGAAAGCCCGGGGCUCAACCCCGGAACUGCCUUUAAGACUGCAUCGCUUGAAUCCGGGAGAGGUGAGUGGAAUUCCGAGUGUAGAGGUGAAAUUCGUAGAUAUUCGGAAGAACACCAGUGGCGAAGGCGGCUCACUGGACCGGCAUUGACGCUGAUGAUGCGAAAGCGUGGGGAGCAAACAG
rnacentral:rRNA from 1 species